rnacentral:lncRNA from 9 species
GAAAGAUACAAUCUCUGUUUCUCAUCUCCUCACUCUGUAGUCUCUAAUCUGCACGUCAUUGGCCCUAUGUGUACCCAAGUGGUCUUUUAGAAAAGGAACGGAGUACAGAAUAUAAGGAACCUAGGCAAACCGCUAAUCCAGAGGCCACUCUCUGCCCCCAGGAGAUCAGAUAGGCCCACACUUCACGAUCCUGGAAAGGUUGACACAACUCAAUGUCUCUGGUACAAUCUUAGCUUAGGAACCUUUAAAAAGUCCUCAGAACAGAUAUAGCUACUGUCUAUAGCAGAACAGAGAUGCUCCAAGAACAUUUUUUGCGUCUCCAACACUAAGAGCACAGGACAUCCAAAUAUCCAAAAUGACUCUGUGGGAAAAAAAAUCCUGAAAUGGGGGUUAUGGACUCUGGGGAGACCACUAAGGAUGCACCAGUAAAGAAUACAGGUCGUGAACCCCCACCCAGUAGACCUGUUUAUAGAGUCCCCCACCAGGGCACACACCUAGGACACACUGGGCUAGAUUGCACCACGGACAGAACAUGAACUUUCCUAGAUGCCGUUACCAUAGGGGAUGUCCCCGUCAAUUUACUCAAGUCCCACACUGAGACCACUCCUCCUUAGCACAAGGGCAUUUAGCAUUCCCCAUGUGCUCAGCUUUAUUAAGAGUGCUGGCUGGAAUUCCCGUAGUGGCUUAGCAGAAACAACCUGAGUAGUAUCAAUGAGGAUGCAGUUUGAUCCCUGGCCUCGCUCAAAGGGUUAAGGAUCUGGCGUUGCCCAGCUCAGGGGGUUAAGGAUCCACUGUUGCCAUGAGCUGUGGUGUAGGUCACAGACGCGGCUCAGAUCCCAUGUUGCUGUGGCUGUGGGGUAGGCCAGCAUCUACAGCUCUGAUAUGACCCCUAGCCUGGGAACUUCCACAUGCCAUAGGUGCGGCCCUAAAUUAAAAAAAAAAAAAAAAAAAGGAGUGCUGGCUUAUAUCUCCAUUUAUCCUCUAUGGUCUCCCAAUAAAGUAAGAGUUUGGAUAGGAGCACCGUGCCCUCCCAAAAGGACAGCCCCUUCUACUUUCUCUCCUCCUAACCUGAACUUAUUGGACACCCUACAGAAUCAGCUCACCUGUGCCCCUCAAGAACCUCGCUGGAAACCCUUCUGCCAAGCUCAUCUCCUGAUUGAGUCUCCAUGUGGCAAGUGCUCUAGGACUGAUGGGAGAUGAUGCAUUUUCUCACCUCCCACCCUCACCCCCCUAGUGGAGUGGAAGCAGAAUCAUUGUCUACCUCCUACUAUGACACCUGGGGUAAGCCACUCCACCCCUGAGAAGUCCCAGCUUCAGGGAACUGUAGGGACCUCUGCAUCUGCUUAGGGUCUUGGUAGCAGGGAGCCCAGACUAUCACUCAGGUCCCAUGUCCAUGCUGGUCAUGCGACCCCCAGUUCCCAGAAGUCCAUGUAUUUCCAGGAUGUACUACUUUGCUCAUCUCUGCUGCAGAAGUCCUGAGGCUCAUUUCCAGGUAUUAACACAGUUGGUGAACGAGUACUGUCCAGAACAAUUUUAUUUUGGUUUCUUUUUCUGCAAUAAGUCAAACAGGUAACAAGCCUCAUCUGCACCUAACUGUUGCUUUUUGCCCUGAGUGCGUAG